GGGAGUUCAUGCUUGUGACUAAUGCAUGGAGCUUGCUAAGAGCUGGGAGUGCCAGAAAAGGAGCUCCCAGCUCCUGGGGGAGAGGGUUUACUUUCUGUGCAUUAAUUGUACUUGCUUUGAACGUUGUGAAGUAAAAAACAAGCUCUGCAGCAUGCCCUCCAAAGGCUUCCUACCUCAGGAAGAGCUGUGGGAGGUUUUGUGUGUGAGUGCUCCAUAAGAAGAAAAGGCUGAGAGGAUGGAAAAAAUGUGUCUUUGUACCAAACUCCCACAGAGAGAAAUUUCAGGGGGGUUGAUCCUACAAAGCUGGAGCUCCCUGACAACUACUUCUGCAACACCCAUGAGAUGUGAAGAACAACCAGUGACCUCCUACAGGGAACAAUCUGCCACCAGAAGAGCUGUGCAUUUAAGGGACUUUUUUUGGCUCUGUUGCCAACUCAUGCCCUCAUUCUAAGACACACACACAAAAAAACCACCAUAAAAUAAAAUAAUUUUUAAAAG